UAAAACCACCCUUUAUAGGGGUACUCCUUUUUGUCCUGAAGCAUGAAUGAUGUGUGUCAAGAGUACCUUGGGGAUUGUCAUGUGUUAUGUGUAUGGACAUAAUAACCCUGGCUAGGGCACAUUUACUUAUUCUUAAUCUUAGAAAUCUUGUCUCAUGCUACACUAGUACUGACAGAUUCAGAUCAUUUAAACAUUCAAUAUUAAUAUCACCACAAACUCAAGAUAAGCAGAUGAUCCUGAAGAAGCUUUGACUGUGCGUAUGGCACCUCAGACGUGAGGGCUGCAGGGUAAGGAGUAUGUUUGUUUCUCUUUAGUUUCACGAGGUCCCCUUUUGGGGUAUUCGGCUUUCCAUCGAUGGCAGGUGGUCAGGCAUUAUUAUGGCCAUCAAAACACCCACUUGUUGAUAUUUUUUUUUUUUUUUUUUUCAACAAGUAUCUUUGUUCUCUAAGAAUGGAGUUUCAAAAAGGGUUGUCAAGAUCAACAAAUGCUACUUCACAUGAUGCAGAGGCAGGCUUAAUUCUGGAAUGAUG